UUUGAUCCUGGCUCAGAUUGAACGCUGGCGGUAUGCUUAACACAUGCAAGUCGAACGGUAACAGGAGAUAUAGCUUGUUAGUCGUUAACGAGGUGCCGGACGGGUUGAGUAACGCGUAGGAAUCUGCCUAACAGUGGGGGACAACCUGGAGAAAUCCAGGCUAAUACCGCAUACGCCCUACGGGGGAAAGAAGGCCUCUUCUUGAAAGCUUUCACUGUUAGAUGAGCCUGCGUUAGAUUAGCUUGUUGGUAGGGUAAAGGCCUACCAAGGCAACGAUCUAUAGCUGGUCUGAGAGGAUGAUCAGCCACACUGGGACUGAGACACGGCCCAGACUCCUACGGGAGGCAGCAGUGGGGAAUAUUGGACAAUGGGCGCAAGCCUGAUCCAGCAAUACCGCGUGUGUGAAGAAGGCCUUAGGGUUGUAAAGCACUUUCAAUUGGGAAGAAAAGCAUACGGUUAAUACCCGUGUGUCUUGACGGUACCUUUACAAGAAGCACCGGCUAACUCCGUGCCAGCAGCCGCGGUAAUA
rnacentral:rRNA from 1 species